UCUAGUUUUGAAAGUAUACAUGUUUGGCAUAAUAAGUAAAACUAAACAAGUUUAACGGGUGACAAAUUUGACCAGUGUGUAACUCCAGCCCUUGCCCACCAUCAUUGUUUUUUUUCCACGCCGUCAGUUUUGUCGAGGUGAUAUUUUAGUUAAAUAUUUGCUGCUGGAAACGCGUGUGCCUCGAGCAAGGAAUUACAUUUGAAACGCCAUUUAUUCCUGGACGAUAUGAGGAUAGAAAAGACACAUCGGCAAUGUUGAUCAGGAAGGAAACGAUCCGGAAUCGAUUUAGAGGCUGUUCCGAACAAGAUUCCAACGAAAUUGUGCCAAA